rnacentral:Y_RNA from 1 species
GGCUGGCCCAAGUGCAGUGGUGUUUACAAUUGAUCAUAGCCAGUUACAGAUUUAUUUGUUCCAUCUCUACUUUCACUUUUUCACUUGACUAGCCUUAA